UAAUCUUCUGGAGAUCCGGGUGAGAUAACUCGCCGCUUUUCAGUUCUAUUCUCUUAAAGAUUUGGUAAAUUCGGAUUAAAACUUAUGUUCUUAUUCGUUUGAUCUUUGUGUUAUUGAGGUUUUUUAAUCAUCAAUUGGUUGAGAUGGAGAUGGAGAAGGAGGCGGCAUCGGUCGGCCCUUUUCACGUUGAAUCUCUUCAAAAAUCAAAACCCUCAUCAUCAUCUAACCAAAGGAGGCGGCAUCGGUCGAUUAAUUAGGGUUUCAAAACCCUCACAUUGAUUUUUUUUUGGGUGAAGUUUUUACUGAGGCGAUGGCUUCUUCAUCAGACUUGAAUUCCCAAUUGUGUCGGAGUUAGAGGGUCAGAUCCAAUACGCUGAGAAUUACUUUGAUGAUACUUACGAAUACAGUAAUUGGAAGCAGAGGUUUCAGGGGUUUAUUUCAGUAAUUUCAGUCAACUCCAUCAAUUCCAUGGAAGUAGCCAACAACUCCAUCAAUUCCUCUCCACCAAACCAAAGG